rnacentral:rRNA from 1 species
UACGUAGGUGGCAAGCGUUGUUCGGAAUUACUGGGCGUAAAGCGUGCGUAGGUGGUGAGUUAAGUCUGUCGUGAAAGCCCCGGGCUCAACCUGGGAAUGGCGAUGGAUACUGGCUCGCUAGAGUGCGGUAGAGGAGAGUGGAAUUCCCGGUGUAGCAGUGAAAUGCGUAGAGAUCGGGAGGAACAUCAGUGGCGAAGGCGGCGUCCUGGCCUGCGACUGACGCUGUGGCGCGAAAGCUAGGGGAGCGAACGGG